rnacentral:rRNA from 1 species
UGGGCUUGACAUGUUCGGAAUUCUGCAGAGAUGCGGGAGUGCCCUUCGGGGAAUCGGAACAC